rnacentral:rRNA from 1 species
AUUGAACGCUGGCGGCAGGCCUAACACAUGCAAGUCGAACGAGUGGCGGACGGGUGAGUAAUGUCUGGGAAACUGCCCGAUGGCGGGGGAUAACUACUGGAAAAGGUAGCUAAUACCGCAUACCAUCGGAUGUGCCCAGAUGGGAUUAGCAAGUAGGUGGGGUAACGGCUCACCUAGGCGAAGAGCCCUAGCUGGUCUGAGAGGAUGACCAGCCACUCUGGAACUGAGACACGGUCCAGACUCCUCCGGGAGGCAGCAGUGGGGAAUAUUGCACAAUGGGCGCAACCCUGAUGCAGCCAUGCCGCGUGUAUGACAAAUGCCUUCGUGUUGUAAAGUACUUUCAGCGAGUAGGCGUUACUCGCAGAAGAAGCACCGGCUAACUCCGUGCCAGCAGCCGCGGUAAUUC